rnacentral:misc_RNA from 1 species
UUUCCGUAGGUGAACCUGCGGAAGGAUCAUUAUCAUGUAAUUCAGUCCCCUUGGCUGUGUUAUAUAUAUACCCACUCUGUGUACCUUCUCCUGUUGCUUCCGCUGGGUGUGUAAUUCGCCCGGCGGAAGGGUAAAAAUAACCUCUGAGUAUUGAUGAAAUCUCUGUCUGAACCGAAUAGAAAGAAAAACGUUAAAACUUUCAGCAACGGAUCUCUUGGUUCUC